CUGGAGAUUUGGCCACAAGGAGCGUUAAACUUCGCUAUGUUCUUCGUCUUCUCUUCGAGAAAGCGCGAAAAUGGCCUCAACGUUGUGGUAUUCUGCCGCCAUUUUCUUAUUAUUAUUUGCUCAAGUUUUCUCUCCCACUGCAAGGGCAGAUGUGGUGAGCCUCAAUGGCGAUACCUUCACCGACAAGGUGAAGGAGAAGGAUACCUUAUGGUUCAUCAAGUUUUGUGUUCCAUGGUGUAAAUAUUGUAAGAAGCUUGGAUCAUUAUGGGAUGACUUGGGAGUUGCUGUUGAAGGUGAGGACGGGAUCGAGAUUGGAGAAGUAGACUGUAGUACCAGUAAACUGCUUUGCACAAAAGUUAAUAUCCAUGCAUACCCUACAUUUAAGCUGUUCUAUGAAGGUGACGAAAUAGCAAAGUAUACAGGUGCUUUGGAAGUCCAUUCUGUGCAGGUUCGGAUGCUCAUACUGCUUGAGCAGUCAGUCACCUUCAUGAUAGCUAAGUAGCUGAAGUUCAGGUUCAAAUCCAGUGGCAUGAACCUUUCAAAAAAAAAUAAAAAUCCAGUGGCAUGAAGAAUGUAUGGUGCUCCAUCUCCAUGACUGUCUGGUUCUUGUGGAUAGAGAGGAAUGCCCGUGUCCAUGAGGGCAAGAGGACUCCAGGGAGCGUCUUCUGAGGCGCAUCACUCUCUUUGUUGGCCGGCUUGCAGAGGGAAAAGCUUGGGCUUUGGCCUUCCAUCCUUUGAAACAUCACAUCAUCACCAACCUCAAGCUGAAGGUUCCCACAAUCCCCCCUUCCACCACUCUUCAGAUUGCUUGGUCUCCUUAUGUGGGCUUCUUCAAGCUCAACAUUGAUGGCUCGUUCCUUCGUAGCCAGGUCGAUGCGGGGUGUGGAGGAAUCAUCAAGAACGUCACUGGAGGCUUCGUUGUGGCUUUUGCUGACCUUCUUGGCUCCACAACUAACAAUGUCGUUGAGUUUCACGCAUUAGAACGGAGCAUCUCCUUGGCACAGGAUCUGGGCUGUAAGCCACUGAUUAUUGAGAGCGACUCAAAGCUGCUUGUCAACUCACUUUCCCUUCAGAGCACACCCCCAUGGAGACUUCACUUCAGCCUUUACAAUUGCAGGGCAAAGCUCUCACUCCUUCGCCAACCACCAAUGGUAGAUCACACAAUAAGGAGGCGAACACAGUUGUAGUGCAAGCUACAGUUUGGCAGGCAUUCCCCAGGCUUUUUUACUACCCUCGUGUUCUUGGAUUCUGUCGGCACUCCCUAUGAGAGGGUUGUAUCUUGAUUGUACUUGUAACUCACUUUCUAUAAUCUUCUUUUAUGUAUAUUAAUAAAACAAAAUAGGCAGGGGCUUGUCAUCCCCCACUGAUUUUCCCAAAAAAAAAAAACACAAAGCAAUGAUUGGAUCUCUUGUGUAACAUAUGGAUGUCAAGUAGUGGUGCUGCUAUGUUGAGACUAGGACCAGGAUAGGGAGCGUGGAAUUGUCAUAGGGUAGAAGCUUCCUAUGGUCAGGAUCGUUGUCCUUAUAGACUAAAUUUUAGUGAUCUCGAUCCCAACCAGUUGGGGAGCUAGAUCCCAACCUUGUGGGAUCACAUGUUAAAUUCGAGGGAAAUUAUCAUACUGAUUCUCCUACGUUCUAUCGUACGGGGAUUGGAGAUUGCAAUCAUACUGAUUCACUUCCGAUAAGUUCUGUUGUACAGGGAUCCGUUUGAAAGGACUUUAGUGUUUACUGUAUAGGUUCUGAUACGAGGGAUCCAUUUAGGUUUUGAUACAUGAAAAAUGCAAUUACUUAAAAGUGUUUAGGUGAAAUAUAAAAGAAAUGCAAUCUAGGUUGAGAAAUUUAGGUCACAGGCUUUGAACUUAACUUUGAUUUCUCGGGUCCUUGGAUGAAACUGGAACUUAAGGGACACAAUGGAGGAAACUAUAGAGAUCUUUUGUUCUUUGAUCUUGUUUUGAGAUAUUAGAGAUUAUUUGAGCUCGGAUUAUUUGCUUUCCUGAAGGUUAGCUGCACCAAAUAUAUGAAGGGUUUUGUCUUUCUUAUUGGAUCUUUUUGUGUGGCUACUGAAUGUGAAUGUAACAGUUGUAAGUUGACAUCUGUGUCAGAAAGGCAGCAAGACAUUGAUCGUUUGUUGAUUAUUUGAGUUCAUGUACCUCAGAGGCCAGGGCCAAGGGAUGUUCAGUCACUCAAGGCCUUUGUCUUAGAUGAAGCAGAGAAGGCGGCCAGAGGACAGCUUGAUGGAGA